rnacentral:rRNA from 1 species
AGUGAACGCUGGCGGUAGGCCUAACACAUGCAAGUCGAACGGCAGCACAGUAAGAGCUUGCUCUUACGGGUGGCGAGUGGCGGACGGGUGAGGAAUACAUCGGAAUCUACUUUUUCGUGGGGGAUAACGUAGGGAAACUUACGCUAAUACCGCAUACGACCUACGGGUGAAAGCAGGGGAUCUUCGGACCUUGCGCGAUUGAAUGAGCCGAUGACGGAUUAGCUAGUUGGCGGGGUAAAGGCCCACCAAGGCGACGAUCCGUAGCUGGUCUGAGAGGAUGAUCAGCCACACUGGAACUGAGACACGGUCCAGACUCCUACGGGAGGCAGCAGUGGGGAAUAUUGGACAAUGGGCGCAAGCCUGAUCCAGCCAUACCGCGUGGGUGAAGAAGGCCUUCGGGUUGUAAAGCCCUUUUGUUGGGAAAGAAAAGCAGCAGGUUAAUACCCCGCUGUUCUGACGGUACCCAGAGAAUAAGCACCGGCUAACUUCGUG